AGCUGAAUUAAGGAACGAGCUACUCUGGCAUCUGCUCCUGCUGCCCAACUGUAUGGCAGGGCAAAAGUCCUGCUAUAGCACUUCUGGCUGCUCGAGGCAGUUCCAGGAGUUGGACUCUACAAUCUUUUUGGGUCUCUUACAACACAGCAUAUUCAAUGCUCCUAUGAUUCUAAGAACCGUGCCUGGACAGCAAGAGGGUCUGCAUAAGCCACUGAGGCAGCAAGAGGCAGAGCAUGCCUUUUCACGCUCCUACAGUCUCACUGUGAAGAAGAAUCUGAAGCAAAAUGCCUUCCAAAGAAUUGUUCAGAUAUGUCAGAGUUUCCACAUUCAUAUGCUGCACAUACCAUCUUCACGCUUGCUUGUGUUGCAACCACAACUGGGCUACUGAGUGCUUUUGUAUUCCAGGAGUUGCAGGAGACACUGCACUUCACAUAAUCAUAUCAAUAAGUGAAUGCUCUUUUUAGCUGUACAAAUGCCUGUCCCAUCCCAACACCAGCCAUCACUGUGGUCACCCCAUGGUCAGACCCCAGAGGAAGCAUAUGGUGGUGGCACCAGCAUCUGACCUUGGAUGAAACGGGCAGCUCUUGCAAGAAAUCAGCCCAACACCAGUGUAAUUUUUGGGUUUCUUCUGCCUAAUUAAGGAAUCUGCACCUGAAUUUUCAUUAUGAGAAAAUCACAUCCAAUACAGAGCAAACAUAAGUGUGCCCUGGGAGGACCUCCUGCAGCAAUUAUUUGGCCUAAAUCCCUGUUUCUUACAUUAUGUUUAAUCAUUAUGUGACAGAUAAACUAAGGAUAACAGCUGCAGCAGUGGACAAGCCAUGAUGAUUAGCUAAGGUACCUAAGGGUGUGCAUUUUAAAAAACAUAGCAUAACUAUGUGACUGUUUAAAAAUUACUUACCUACUGUUAAACUGACAGAGAAUGGCACAGCUCACCUGCUACUUAGGAGAGCUGAUACGAUCCUGAAUCUCUUCUCUCCUGCUUUCUUCUCUGAACUUCCUGCCCACUUGAAACAUAAAGGCAUCCUUUCCCAUACUCCAGUAGAUCUCACAAUUUUCACUUACACACAAAGUCUCCAGUGGGCAGCACGCUGCUUCCUCAAAGGAAUAUUUCAUACCUGCAACAUACAGAAGCAUCUUAAGAGUUGCUGUCAAAAGAGUACCAGAUCUUAAAGGUCUCCUUUACCUGCUGUUAUGAAGUCAUGGACUAUAUAUUGCUUACAAAUGUAUGUGAUAAUACAGAUUAUGUAAAGAAGUUUUC
rnacentral:lncRNA from 1 species